rnacentral:rRNA from 1 species
AGUGAACGCUGGCGGUAGGCCUAACACAUGCAAGUCGAACGGCAGCACAGAGGAGCUUGCUCCUUGGGUGGCGAGUGGCGGACGGGUGAGGAAUACAUCGGAAUCUACUCUGUCGUGGGGGAUAACGUAGGGAAACUUACGCUAAUACCGCAUACGACCUACGGGUGAAAGCAGGGGAUCUUCGGACCUUGCGCGAUUGAAUGAGCCGAUGUCGGAUUAGCUAGUUGGCGGGGUAAAGGCCCACCAAGGCGACGAUCCGUAGCUGGUCUGAGGGGAUGAUCAGCCACACUGGAACUGAGACACGGUCCAGACUCCUACGGGAGGCAGCAGUGGGGAAUAUUGGACAAUCGGCGCAAGCCUGAUCCAGCCAUACCGCGUGGGUGAAGAAGGCCUUCGGGUUGUAAAGCCCUUUUGUUGGGAAAGAAAUCCAUCUGGUUAAUACCCGGGUGGGAUGACGGUACCCAAAGAAUAAGCACCGGCUAACUUCGUGCCAGCAGCCGCCGCCG